rnacentral:rRNA from 1 species
CGCAGGCGGUCUGUCAAGUCGGAUGUGAAAUCCCCGGGCUCAACCUGGGAACUGCAUUCGAAACUGGCAGGCUUGAGUCUUGUAGAGGGGGGUAGAAUUCCAGGUGUAGCGGUGAAAUGCGUAGAGAUCUGGAGGAAUACCGGUGGCGAAGGCGGCCCCCUGGACAAAGACUGACGCUCAGGUGCGAAAGCGUGGGGAGCAAACAGGAUUAGAUACCCUGGUAGUCCACGCCGUAAACGAUGUCUACUUGGAGGUUGUGCCCUUGAGGCGUGGCUUCCGGAGCUAACGCGUUAAGUAGACCGCCUGGGGAGUACGGCCGCAAGGUUAAAACUCAAAUGAAUUGACGGGGGCCCGCACAAGCGGUGGAGCAUGUGGUUUAAUUCGAUGCAACGCGAAGAACCUUACCUGGUCUUGACAUCCACAGAACUUUCCAGAGAUGGAUUGGUGCCUUCGGGAACUGUGAGACAGGUGCUGCAUGGCUGUCGUCAGCUCGUGUUGUGAAAUGUUGGGUUAAGUCCCGCAACGAGCGCAACCCUUAUCCUUUGUUGCCAGCGGUCCGGCCGGGAACUCAAAGGAGACUGCCAGUGAUAAACUGGAGGAAGGUGGGGAUGACGUCAAGUCAUCAUGGCCCUUACGACCAGGGCUACACACGUGCUACAAUGGCGCAUACAAAGAGAAGCGACCUCGCGAGAGCAAGCGGACCUCAUAAAGUGCGUCGUAGUCCGGAUUGGAGUCUGCAACUCGACUCCAUGAAGUCGGAAUCGCUAGUAAUCGUGGAUCAGAAUGCCACGGUGAAUACGUUCCCGGGCCUUGUACACACCGCCCGUCACACCAUGGGAGUGGGUUGCAAAAGAAGUAGGUAGCUUAACCUUCGGGAGGGCGCUUACCACUUUGUGAUUCAUGACUGGGGUGAAGUCGUAACAAGGUAACCGUAGGGGAACCUGC